AAAGGUAGCAUAAUCACUUGUCUCUUAAUUGGGGACUAGUAUGAAUGGCAUAACGAGGGCUCAACUGUCUCUUAUUCCCAAUCAGUGAAAUUGACCUUCCCGUGCAGAGGCGGGAAUCAUGAUACAAGACGAGAAGACCCUGUGGAGCUUAAGUCAAAUAACUCAAGACAUACUAAUAUACAACCCACCGGAACAGCCCGUAUAACCCCCUGAGUUAUAGUCUUUGGUUGGGGUGACCUCGGAGCAUAAAACAACCUCCGAAUGAAAUAACCCAGAUUAACUAAUCUAAGUGUAACAAUACCAGUAAUUGACCCAUCUUUUGAUCAACGGAACAAGUUACCCCAGGGAUAACAGCGCAAUCCUAUUUGAGAGCCCAUAUCGAAAAUUAGGGUUUACGACCUCGAUGUUGGAUCAGGACACCCAAAUGGUGCAACCGCUAUUAAAGGUUCGUUUGUUCAACGAUUAAAGUCCUACGUGAUCUGAGUUCAGACCGGAGAAAUCCAGGUCGGUUUCUAUCUGUAAAUUCAUUUCUCCCAGUACGAAAGGACAAGAGAAAUAGGGCCAACGUACCAAAUAAGCCCUAGAGCCCACAUAUGAACAAAUCUAAAUAUACUAAAUCAAUUUAUACCCCCCCCAGAAAAAGGGUUAUUAAAA
rnacentral:rRNA from 1 species